CGUGGAGACAGGUGGUGCAUGGCUGUCGUCAGCUCGUGUCGUGAGAUGUUGGGUUAAGUCCCGCAACGAGCGCAACCCUCACCCCUUGUUGCCAUCAGGUCAUGCUGGGGACUCUAGGGGAACUGCCCCGGUCAACGGGGAGGAAGGCGGGGAUGACGUCAAGUCAUCAUGCCCCUUACGCCCUGGGCUACACACGUGCUACAAUGGCCGGUACAAAGGGAUGCGAGACCGCGAGGUGUAGCCAAACCCAAAAAGCCGGUCUAAGUUCAGAUUGGAGUCUGCAACUCGACUCCAUGAAGGAGGAAUCGCUAGUAAUCGCCCAUCAGCACGGGGCGGUGAAUACGUUCCCGGGCCUUGUACACACCGCCCGUCACACUACGAAAGUCAGCUGUACUCGAAGUCGCUGAG
rnacentral:rRNA from 1 species